rnacentral:rRNA from 1 species
UAAGUUCUGAAUGUUGAAAAGCCCACGGCUUAACCGUGGAGGGUCAUUUGGAAACUGGAAGGCUUGAGUGCAGAAGAAGAAGAGCGGAGAUUUCCACGUGUAGCGGUGAAAUGCGUAGAGAUGUGGAGGAACACCAGUGGCGAAGGCGGCUCUUUGGUCUGUAACUGACGCUGAGGCGCGAAAGCGUGGGGAGCGAACAGGAUUAGAUACCCUGGUAGUCCACGCCGUAAACGAUGACUGCUAAGUGUUGGGGGGUUUCCGCCCCUCAUUGCUGCAGCUAACGCAUUAAUCACUCCGCCUGGGGAGUACGGCCGCAAGGCUGAAACUCAAAGGAAUUGACGGGGGCCCGCACAAGCGGUGGAGCAUGUGGUUUAAUUCAAAGCAACGCGAAAAACCUUACCACGUCUUGACAUCCCGCUGACGGGUCUGGAUACAUAUCUUCCCCUUCGAGGUCAGCGGUGACAGGUGGUGCAUGGUUGUCGUCAGCUCGUGUCGUGAGAUGUUGUGUUAACUCCCGCAACGAGCGCAACCCUUGAUCUUAGUUGCCAGCAUUUACUUGGGCACUCUAAGGUGACUGCCGGUGACAAACCG